UGCAAGUGCACCUGCCUGUACACAUACACUAGCAGAGACCAAAGAUGCCAAUUGCCGUCCUUUGUCAAGCUCCACUUUAUUCCAUUGAGACAGGUUCUCUGGCCGAGCCUGGAGGUAGGCUGGCCUCCAGCAGGCUCUGCCUGCCUCCAGCAACGCUGGGGAUCCAUGCAUGGACAGCCAUUCCCAGCUUCUCACUGACUAGUGGAGUUUCACAGCACUCACCCACUAAGCAAUUUCCCUAAACCCCUUCUUCCCAAGACACUUCCUUUUUCUCUCUUCCUAUCCCUUUCCUGAACAAGUAACAAACAUUCUUUAAGUAGUCAUGACAGCCUCAUCUACAGAGUUCAGUUACUAAAUACGUCUUUAAGUAAUAAGGUGGCCAUGUCUAUGGAGUUCAGUUAGUAAAUAUGUUGAAACUUGUUGCCUGCUCUCAGAAGCUCACUGUACUGGCACAGAAUGAGCUUGUCCUGGGUCACAGUGUAGAGUAUGUCAAAGUAUCAGCAUGAUCUGGACAGACAGGAGUUUGUAGAAAAAAUAAAUAAAUCCACCAAAUCAGUUCUUACAAGCCACAGCAAACCAGCCCCAGCAUGUAUACUAUAAUAUAAGAGAAAAACAAGUUGGUGAGUUGAUUGGACACUAAGAAGGAUAUGAGGCCUGGCCUCUGGCCUCUCCAUCACACUCUACAGUGCAGGUUUUGUGAGGAGGGGUGUCUUCACUGGGCUUCACCCAUGUUCAAAGAGAACGUUGGUAGAGAUGGCAUUAAAGAACGGUGAGGUGGCUCAGUGGGUGAGGAUGCUUGCUGCCGGGCCUGAUGGCCUGAGUUCAAUCCCUGGGACCCACACAGGGAGCAGAGAAAACAGACUCUCCCAAGAGCAACCUCUGGGCCUCCACAUGCAUGUUGCAGCAUGCACCCACACAGAUUUACAUGCAUGUACAUGUGUGUGUGUGUUAUGUGAGUAUGUAUUUUAUACAUGAUCUAACCAUUGUUUUCAAGACAACUUCUAUUCCCCAGGCUCUCUAUGCCCACUUCUGUUAGCAGCAGUGAUUCUCAGCGUACCCAAAGUGAAUCUGAACAUGACAACCACUGUACUCAGAACAGGGCUCCCUCUUCUUCCAUAUUGGACAAAAGACAAGUAUGCUGUCAAACUUGGGUAUUAAUACACUUUAGGAUAAUAAAGCACAUUAGACAAUAAUACCAAAGGCAAUAUUAAAGUGUCAAAUAUAAAAAUGUACAAGAAUAGAACAAAGCAGACACUCUGGUCGCCAGGCCUGUUCACAGGACAAAGCAGACUAAAGCAGAAAUAACCAGGCUGUGCCAGAUUGAGUGGUGACAUCUUUGCAUGUUUCCUUUGCCAGGAGCAGCGUGUUGAGACCCAGCAUCCACACAUCCCUCACCUUUGUGAGAUUCUCUGGCCUUGGUGACACAGAACCUCAGGCAUGUGAGAUUCAUUUCCUGUUCCAGUUGGUUCAAAGGGAUAUCAUCCUCUAAAGCUAACAGUCACAGUAACCAGUUGUGGACUCGGAGGCGUAACUCGACGUCUGGAAGGUGGCUUCUGUGUGAGGUUUUCCUCUCUGAUUAGAGCAGAGAGAAUAAAGUGCCCCCCCUUUGUGGCACCUGGCCGUGUCUUUUCAGCUCAGUAUUACAGUGCGAGGAUGAGCCACAUGCUUGGGGCCAGUGCGCCACCUCCACCAAGCCUGGCGGCAGCAGUGCAAUCCCUAGGACACAGGUGACGGGAGGAGAGAACCGACUUCUGCAAGUCGUCCACCGACUUCCAGAUGCAUGUGCCACCUCCCCAGCACCCAAGAAGUGUCAUGGCCUUUUAAUGAAGAAGGGUAGACACACGAAAUUCUGAAAGCAUAUGUCUUUGUUUACAAAAGAUGCCCGGAGCUGUGACCACCACUUUAGGAGGAACAAGGGAAGACCCUAGCCUGGGAAGAAUAUGGGUCAUGGGGCUGGAAGGAGCCUGGGUCCUUGGGGACAUCACUGGGACAAGGCAGUGACCAAGCUGCCCACCUUUGACUUCUCUGUUCUGUGGUAUACUUGAAUCCUUUGGUCUAAGUCAGUGUUCUAGUACCCGCAGCUGACUUUGUUCCUAGACCACUGGGGAGGAGCAGAGCAGGGGGAGCACCGAAGAGGAGCACAGCCUUCAUGGAAGAGAGACAGGACAGGCUAAGCCAGGUGAUGGCCACUAAACUGUGUAUACACAUCAUUCAAAGACUGAUCCGAGAUGCCACACAGGCUUGAUACACAGAAGAUGAGAGCUGUCUGCUAUGUUGGUGAUACGCAGCUCCCAGGUGAUGCUGAGGCUGAUGGGCUGUGCGUGAGUCAGAUUUCCAAGCACUCAUUUAUAUCAUCCACUUUGUCAAUGAAGAAGAACAAGUUUCUGACAUCUUCAAGAAGUGUAAGAUCCAUAUGAGAAUCCGAGAGCAGCACAGUGAUAUGCUGCUUGGAGCGAUGUUGGUGAGCUAGAGACAUCACAGUUAAGUAAGCAUCCUGGAAGUCACCCAGAAUAAGCAUAUGGGAGACCUCCGUUUGAGAUCAUUAUCAUUCAGUCACUGUCCAUUAUGUUGGAGCUGACACUGACAACCCACAUUGACGCCCAGGUAAUUUUUCAUCUUCACCAGCGGCACUAACAGCCACAGAGUGUUUCUGGCACCAUUUGGCUGAGAGGAGCCCACGCGGCCAUCCACCUGCUCCUCCACACAGUUCUUGCCGCGGCCCAGCAGCCUAGAAGUUUCUUUCUCUGCGCUCGCUCUCUGUCUUACACCUCCAAGCCCAUUUCAGCCGGGCCUAAGAACCUGUUUGGGUACUAAGCACCAUUUGGACCGACUGCAAUUUCUACACCAUGACUUCUGUGACUUGGGAUUUAGAAAAGACAGACCACAUGGGUUUUCAGCGGGCUUCCUCCAUUUUGGAAACCUGAGGCUCCUCCCCUUCCAUAUACGGUAGACAGGGCCUGCACACAGCUGCUUGGCACCAGAUAACCCUUGGCUAUGCCAAGAAAGUUUUUGUUACUCUGCAGGCCUCUGCCUGCCGCCUGAGGAUCCUGAGAAAAUGCAGAAAUCCUGGCUUUAGUGGUCUAUGGCUGCAUCAUCCCAGCUGUUUUGGAUGUAGGAUAAGUUAGGCCACUGCUUCAAGGGUUGUUUGAUCGAACCAUAUUAGUCUAGAAGGAAUCCAUAGCUUUUCAUUUUCUGUAGAAACACAAGCAAGAAAUCUUUUCCCAAG